CCGUUCUCAACGGGGUGCGGAAAAAACCUUGUGGUGCCAGUGCAUUGUCACCCACCGAUUUUUUCCGCUGAGAAAAACCCGUCGAACCUGAUCCGGCUCAUACCGGCGUAGGGAUUUGAGAUUGCCUGUCAC
rnacentral:ncRNA from 1 species